rnacentral:rRNA from 1 species
AGUGAACGCUGGCGGUAGGCCUAACACAUGCAAGUCGAACGGCAGCACAGUAAGAGCUUGCUCUUACGGGUGGCGAGUGGCGGACGGGUGAGGAAUACAUCGGAAUCUACUUUUUCGUGGGGAAUAACGUAGGGAAACUUACGCUAAUACCGCAUACGACCUACGGGUGAAAGCAGGGGAUCUUCGGACCUUGCGCGAUUGAAUGAGCCGAUGUCGGAUUAGCUAGUUGGCGGGGUAAAGGCCCACCAAGGCGACGAUCCGUAGCUGGUCUGAGAGGAUGAUCAGCCACACUGGAACUGAGACACGGUCCAGACUCCUACGGGAGGCAGCAGUGGGGAAUAUUGGACAAUGGGCGCAAGCCUGAUCCAGCCAUACCGCGUGGGUGAAGAAGGCCUUCGGGUUGUAAAGCCCUUUUGUUGGGAAAGAAAAGCAGCAGGUUAAUACCCCGCUGUUCUGACGGUACCCAAAGAAUAAGCACCGGCUAACUUCGU